rnacentral:rRNA from 1 species
GCGGCCAUGUCGUGGGGGAUCACCCGUUCCCAUCCCGAACACGGAAGUUAAGACCCACAGAGCCGAUGGUACUGCCCUUUAGGAGGGUGGGAGAGUAGGACGCCGCCGGAA